AUCAUCAUCGUCGUCAUCAUCGUCCCCAUCAGAAUCUUCUUCAUCAGCUUCAUUGUUAAAAUAUUUCAGCGGAUUAGGCCAUAAGUCCUCCUUAAUUAUCUCGCCCACCUCAUCACUAAGCCCAUCCGCAAUGUCUUUCAGCUGAGUCUCAGAAAACCAACUAAAAAAGCUGUCUUCUGAUGCUGGCCUCUUGUUCCCUUUCAUCUCAGGAUUAACACCAUAAGCCGCACCCAUGCCUUCCUUCCACUUAAUAGCUGUACCAGUUAUCUUUGUUGAUCCUUCAUCAAGGAAUGUAUAUGUCUUGACCAGUUUUGUAUCUUCAAAAUAAGGAUUUGGUUUGAAUACAAAAGUAAGGGAAUAGCCGGAUGUCACAUCCUUGAAAUCCUCCACAUCAAGAGAAUCUAAGUACUUGAAGAUCUUCUGAUCUUCCACAUUCAAAAGCUCGCCAAGGGCAGGGUGACUCAAGAAAGCAGUCACCCAAAAGUCAGGAAUUGAUUUGAUGAGCUCAUUUCGUUUCUCGUAAACAGGCCUCCUUAUCUCAUUAUACUUCUGUUCAAUUUCCAAUACCUCCUCACUAGCCUGUUCAUUCACCUUUUCAAGUUCAUCUUGAACUUCUUGAAGCUUCUCAAUGGAGGAUCCAACACCAGUACCAAUUUGUUGGGCAUUUUCCUCAACUGCUGUCUUCACUUUCUUGGAAUUGUCAGUCACCAUUUUUUUUUCAGAAACCCUAAAAAGGGAUCUGCUAAAACCCUAAUGCUGAAG
rnacentral:misc_RNA from 1 species